CACUCACACACACACUCUCUGCCUGUCAGUUGCUGCUGCUGCUCCUGCUGCCAUGAAGCCAAAUGGAAUAGCUCUCCUGCUCCUCUCCCUCACACUCCUGCACUCAGGGCGACCACAGACGACGUCACCAGAUCCUCCCAUAGACCCUGACUCCCCAACAACACCUGCUGCACCUGCUGCUCCGACAGAGAUAGUGGCAACAACAGUUAAGUCUACUGAUUCAGAUGAGGCACCAAAAUCCACAGAGAGUGAG